UACGUAGGGGGCAAGCGUUGUCCGGAAUCAUUGGGCGUAAAGAGCGUGUAGGCGGCCCGGUAAGUCCGCUGUGAAAGUCGAGGGCUCAACCCUCGAAUGCCGGCGGAUACUGUCGGGCUAGAGUCCGGAAGAGGCGAGUGGAAUUCCUGGUGUAGCGGUGAAGUGCGCAGAUAUCAGGAGGAACACCUACGGCGAAGGCAGCUCGCUGGGACGGUACUGACGCUGAGACGCGAAAGCGUGGGGAGCAAACAGG
rnacentral:rRNA from 1 species